GUUCUAUUAGCUCAAUAGGCAGAGCAUAAUACUUCUAAUAUUUGUAUUCUAGUUCAAAUCUGGAAUAGAACU
rnacentral:tRNA from 1 species